rnacentral:rRNA from 1 species
GAUGAACGCUGGCGGCGUGCUUAACACAUGCAAGUCGAGCGGGGUUUUCGGACCUAGCGGCGGACGGGUGAGUAAUGCGUAGGAAGCUACCCGAUAGAGGGGGAUACCAGUUGGAAACGACUGUUAAUACCGCAUAAUGUCUACGGACCAAAGUGUGGGACCUUCGGGCCACAUGCUAUCGGAUGCGCCUACGUGGGAUUAGCUAGUUGGUGAGGUAAUGGCUCACCAAGGCGACGAUCUCUAGCUGGUUUGAGAGGAUGAUCAGCCACACUGGAACUGAGACACGGUCCAGACUCCUACGGGAGGCAGCAGUGGGGAAUAUUGGACAAUGGGCGCAAGCCUGAUCCAGCCAUGCCGCGUGUGUGAAGAAGGCCUUCGGGUUGUAAAGCACUUUCAGCGAGGAGGAAGGGUUGUGUGUUAAUAGUACACAGCCUUGACGUUACUCGCAGAAGAAGCACCGGCUAACUCUGUGCCAGCCGCCGCUGUAAAAC